rnacentral:SRP_RNA from 1 species
AAGGUCGGCCAAAGGCGGAAAUAUCGCUAAUCCGGUCAGGGCCGAGAGGCAGCAGCCGCACCGAAUUUUUUCCGGGUUUUGCGUCCGGCCUUCCA